GGUUGCGAUCAUACCAGCACUAAUGCACCGGAUCCCAUCAGAACUCCGCAGUUAAGCGUGUUUGGGCGAGAGUAGAACUAGGAUGGGUGACCCCCUGGGAAGUCCUCGUGUUGCAACCC
rnacentral:rRNA from 1 species